rnacentral:rRNA from 1 species
GGCGUAAAGAGUCCGUAGACUGUAAAGUAAGUUUUUUGUUAAAUUUUAAGACUCAAUCUUAAUCAAGCAAUUAAUACUGCUUUACUUUGAGUUUAAUACAGAAAAGUAGAAUUUUAUACGGUAGGGGUGAAAUCCGCAGAUAUAUAAAGGAAUGCCAAUAGCGAAGGCAACUUUUUGGUAUAAACUGACGUUGAGGGACGAAAGUGUGGGUAGCAAACAGGAUUAGAGACCCUGGUAGUCCACACCGUAAAUUCUGAGUGCUGUAAUUUAAUUGUAAUAUUGUACAAAUAUUAUUUAGAUUUUCAAGCUAACGCAAUAAGCACUCCGCCUGAAGAGUACGAUCGCAAGAUUGAAACUCAAAGGAAUUGACGGGGGUCUAACACUAGUGGUGGAGCAUGUGGUUUAAUGCGAUAAUCCGCGCAAAACCUUACCAAUUCUUGACAUAUUUAAAUUGUUCACAAAUAAACGCAACCGUUUUAAUUGUGUACGUUUUUUUACAGGUGUUGCACGACUGUCGUCAGCUCGUGUCGUGAGAUGUUUGGUUAAGUCCUGAAACGGGCGCAACUCUUACUUUUAAACAAGUUUUUUACGUAUUAAACAAUUUAUUUCUUGUAGAUUUUUUAAACGCUUUAAAAGUACGGUCAACGAUAAGUUGAAGGAAGGUAAGAAUGAAGUCAAGUCAAUGUGACCCUAAUGAAUUGGGCUACACAUGUGCUACAAUGAAAAUUACAAAAAGUGACAAAAAAGAAAUUUUGAGUUAAUCAACAAAAGUUUUCCCAGUUCGGAUUGUAGACUGCAACUCGUCUACAUGAAGCUGGAAUCACUAGUAAUCGCAAAUCAGCACGUUGCGGUGAACAUGUAACUUGGCCUUGUACACACCGCCCGUCACUUGCAAAGAAUUAGUUUCGCUCGAAGGUUUUUAUAAAACCCAUUGAGAGAUUGAUAAUUUGGAUGAAGUCGUAACAAGGUAGCUGUACGGGAACGUGUAGCUG